GUCAAGAUAAUAUAAGCUGCAGCUCUGCAAAACUGAAGGAAAAUCUUCAGAUAAUCACUGCGAAGGCACAACAGAAGAUGCAGCUGGAUUUCUGCAGGGGAAGCAGCUGUGGGCUCUGUUUCGAACGGAGCAGUCAACAUCUGCUGGCCCUUGGUGGAGAUGCAACCCGUCAUCUGUGAGCAGCUGGGUGCCGGGGCUCAAACACACAGCCUGGUUAUGGCAGCUGCACAGAUUGCCACAUGUUGGAUGAGAUGGAAGAACUAUCCCAGCGCAUAUUCUCCAUGCAAGGCAAGCAGAAGUUGGACAUUUCUGUGUGGUAAACUGAGCUGAUGUGAAUGACCUCACCUUUGGCUGCCAUGGCUCACCUUGCGUUUGAUAACCCUAUUAAAUGGCUCUGUCGUGUUCAGGACCUAACCAGAGGUAUUUAUGGAAACUUGCUGGGUUUUGAAUAUUGCCAUGUGUCUUUCCAAAGGAAGAUUUCACUGAGGCAUGACUUUCAUCCCAUGAAGUGCAAGGAUAUUUCCAGCCUGUGCUCACCCGCUGCCUGCAGCAAGGAAGGAAGCACCUGCAGAGGUGAGCAGGGAGGUGGUAUUUUAAUCUGUCCAAACCAGAUGAGGAGAGCAGCCCCGGACAGAGCAUUUGGUCUAUCUGGAGUUUCGAAAAGGAAACGUUUUUCCUGCCUGACCUCGGCCCUGGUUGACACGUGCAGCACUUUGUAAAGUUAAUUGCGUAUCGAACAGGUAGUGGAGUGGAAAGGAGCUGCAGGUGGUGCAUGCUUGCAGAGUCUGCUCAUAGCAAAGCAGGGUUUGGGUCUUCCUUUGCAUGAUCAGCCUGCCAGAGCCGGGAGGAAUCUGCCCUGAGCUCUGCCCACCAGUUGGUUUUCUUUGUUGGUGUAGUUGCUGCCAUUAGUGAUUUUUA
rnacentral:lncRNA from 1 species